AAGCAUAGACCCUCACUUCAGAGUCGUGCAGAGACAAGACUUUGUGAUAACGUCACGCCAAGUGUCAUCUGUCUGCCAUCCGUCAUGAAAGAUGACACAUGACAGCCGCGCUACACAAUCAAAAUUAACAAACACCUUACAACAAAUAAUAAUGCCGGCAAACAGCAAAAGCGAUGUAAAAAAUAUUAGAAGAGUGAACAAAGUGAUUGUGGAAUAUAGUUGCAGUAUAAAGGAGGUACAACAGAAUACACAAAUCCACUUAGUACCUACUCCUGUGUACAUUGAGGCCAUGGGCAACAAAGACAUUACCAACGAAAAAAAAUUACGGUUCCCGCCAGACUCUUCUGUACUCCGCUUAGCAGCCGAAGUGGACGAGCUUUGCGUGCUCGGGUACUUGGUCAGCAGAGGACUCAGCUCGCCCAUCGUAGUCACUCUGCAUUUACGCCCAUCAGAAGUCUUGAUGUAGAUAACGCCAUCCUGAGUCCAGCAAGCCCGCAUACCGAAAUGCUGCCGCGCCUGCACGAAGAUAUUCUGCCUUUCCUUUGUUAUGAACUCUCUGAUGGUGAUCUUAGUCCCUUUUAAUCUGGAUUUGGCCCGCCAUACCGUCGCUUUAAUAUGCACAUCGGCAAACCUGACGAGAAGAGGCCUGUGAUGGUCAGAACUAGCCUGUCCCAGCCUGUGAGACACCUUUAUGGAAGAUGUGGUAUGCCCUGGAUAAUCAAAGCUUUUCGACGGCUCUUUGUGGCGAGCCAAUCGAUUUGCCUGGAGCAGUCUGUUAUCUGAUGUCGCAGGAGCUUCAGCACACCGUAGAUGAGUUCCCUGAAUGUACGGAAUUCUUCAGCCAACUUUGAAAUGGUGUCCUUGGCAGGGGCAGUUGCCUGGAUCUGAGCAUUGACUGCUUCCAACUGAGUCGUGACCAGUUCCUGCAAAGGCGUGAACCUCUCCUCCAGGGAUUUCUGUUUUGAGCGGACCUCUGCUAUUUCUGACAUUGUGAAGUGUGCACAAAUUGUGGAUAAUAAAGUUUUUGAUGUGCUGGCAGGUGGUGUGCCAAGUUGUUUUUAUUUACUCAGGGUUAUGGCAACCGUAAGUACUGGUUAAUAUAAUAUAAUCAAAUUAUAAACUAUUAAAUAUCUAUUGAAUAUAAAAUUUAAAUUUCUAUAAAAUUAAUUUUGACUCGCAAAAAAUACGUGUUGCCUCUUACAAAACCAACCCGCGAA